UCAUAUAAGGUAAAAGAAAAAGGUUUUCCAGAUUCUGAGCACUGUGGAAGGAGUUUUCGCCGAAGACCCCCAUGCCAGCUGCUUAAAAAUCCCAGGCUGGCAGCACCGAAUCCCAGUUGCACGUUAUAUUUUGAAGAGUGGAGGUGAGGCCCCCCCUUCUUCCCCAGCUGGGGCCUAGUGCACAGCAGGUGUGAGUGAGUCCUUCGGAUCACCGCGCAACAUAGGCAUGGGAUGCAGAGGACACUGGCUGAGUAAAGGAAGCAGUGCACAGCUGACAGCUUUGGAGAAGUCACGACUGAAGGCUGCCUGAAGAGGCUGUCGAGUGACCCAUUAAGGGAGACAGCCUCAGAAAUCCAGGCAACUGGCAGCAGGUCAACAUAGCCUGUUAGCAUAAGCUGAUGGUCACUAAGCAUCAGCAUCUGUCAACGCACGCGCCACCACUUCCAAGAACUCUGACUUUCUUGUGACAUUGAACCUGGACACAUGGGAUUGGUUGGGAGCAUGGGGGCUGGUGCUGGAGAAGGACCAGGACUCUUGGUACCAUUGGACAGCCCUAGUUCAUUGGAGUUAGCUGUAGAACUGACACCUGGUUUGCACUUUGCUCAGCUCCGUGGAGGCAGCUUCUUUCCUAUGGACUCCAAGCCAGGAUCCGCAGGUUGGAUAUAGGACAUAAAGGAGGCGCUGCCAGCGCACCGGAUGGAAGGAACUCCAGCCUAGGGAGCUGCCAUCUGCUUCUUGUCAGGUUGUUGUGAGCGUCUGUUCCUGGCUGCCUGCUGACGGAGGUUGCUGGAUCCCAGCAUGAGAACGUUGUUAUGAUAGAUGGUCUGUUUACCGCUUUUCAUCCCUGCUCAGGAUUGCACAGGAUGUUAGUGCUUUUCUGGGUCUGGUCUCUCGCCCUCCCCCACUGUCCUUUUGCUCUCUCCACCCACCUCUUUCCCCCUCCCCACCUCCCGCCUCCAGUGCUCUCUGUUGCUACCAUCUAUGGUUCUGAUCUAUGCAUGCAGGCCUCAUGGGAUUCCUUCCUGAAACACCUCUGCCCGUGGGGUUGGCCUCCCCUCCAUGCGAGUCAGGCCGCACAAGUCAGCUCCAGGGGGGACAGAUGGGAUCAGCGUUGGCUCCUAAGCAGGUGUUGGCCAGCUGUGCAGCCUCUGUCAUGGUCAAGAUGCGCUGUUGCUUCAUUCAAGGAUGAGGAUCAGAGAGGCUGGUUUAACUUCCAUUAACUCUUUGAUGCCUGAGCCUUUGCCAGCUGGCACGUGUCCAGGGAUGGGGAACGUGCGGGGAAGGGGGUUGAAUUUGCUGACACGGGAGACCCAAUGCCCUGGCCCUACCAGUAGCCAGAGGCAUUCUCCCUGCUGCUGACUUUGCAGAUAUCUCACUGUGAGUUCUGGCUGGAAGGGCCCAGUAGCCCAGGGAUACUAUACAGACAUCAAUAGUGCCCCAGUAACACCUCCCCUGAGCUCUUGGCAACUCUGCCCAGGGAAGAGCUCCAGCAACACCCCUCAAUCCAUCCCCACAUCUGCUGCAAAUCCCGGGGACCAGAAAUCCACCUCUGUCGGCUCUGCUGCUCGGUCCGAUGGGCGCAGUCUCCUCCCAGUGGGCCUCAGCAGCAGGGACCGUCCGGCUGGCAUGCUGGGCGGGCUCUCGCCUCUAACCCAUGCAGCCCCCGCUGCACGCAGCACUUUGGGAAAUGCAAUGCAAACAGUUUAUGCUGGGAUCAGCUCUCCUCAUAAACACACUGAGACGCUUCCAGUUGCCUGAACAGCCCCCAGGCAGGGCUCAGGGCCUGUCCUGCUCUUUGUCCACAGCAGAAGGGCUGAUUAAUGGGCUUCUUUCCGGAGGAAACCGCAGUCCUGCCCACUCCCACUCCCUGUCCCCCCAGCAGGACUCGCAGGGCCACCCAGUCGUCUGCAGCCAUGUUUAGUGCAGGAGGCAUAAACUACAUGCCAGCUCAGCUUCAGAGAGACAAGAGCCUCCACUGCCAUAUACGGGAACAAAGAGGCCUGGGAACGACAGUCAGGCCUGUUUACUUUCUCUCCUCGCCUCCUGCUCCCUUUUCAUGGUGGAUUGUCUGUCUAUGUAGCUAUCUCUGGGCUUACCCUCUACCCAGCACCUCGGUAUCUGGACCUCAUGGCUAUGUGGCCUUUGUCUGUUCUUUGCUUUUCAAACAGAAGCUAGUGUCCUUUCCCCAGGAGCUCCACCCGCCGGAUGACAGCCCUGGAGCCAAAGGUCCCUGCUGAGCCGCAGAACGUACCCGGCUAGGCAUCCCCUGCCCACCCUGACCUGGCAGAGGGCACUGCAGUCAGGCCCAUUCAGCCUCUCUGCUGCGACUGCCAACAAGGGGCCAGUCAGGGUUACUCGCGGUGGCCGUUCCAUGGGGAGGUGACCUCAGAGCCUCCAGCCAGCCUGCGCUUGGAAAGGCAGCAGCUGGGGCAGUGAGCGGUAACCCCAGCGAAGUGCCUGGAGUGUGCUGGUACAAGGCCUCUGUGAACCCUGGGCUUCCCCAGAGCCCUCCCCCCUGAGGAGUAUGCCAGACUCACCCUGUGCUGGGGCAAUGGCAAAGUAUCUCCCCUCCCCACAGCAUCUGUACAUCGGUGUGGGUCUCCCCAGGCUCUUGUGAGCUCCUUAAAACCCAGCGCUGAGCCUGGCUGUCCAACUCCAUACUGCUCACAUCUCUCCUGCAUGGGUACCCCCCACACUGACUCAGCUCCCCAGCGCCUCUCCCAGCAUAAAACCCAGGCUGGCUCUUUGCAGGCAGCCUCAGCCCAUGUUUCAUUAGCUGCUCCUACCCCAGUACACAAGUGAAACAGCCCUACCCUGCCCUUGGCCAUACAGUGCCUUCCGCUGACCCACGGCCGCUGCUGCACCUUUGCCCCACUCUGCCCGAAACCCCUGUGGGAACCGCUCCAUCUCACAGCUGACGCACUGUGUGAUCAGGGCAGGUGACAGCAGGAGGGGACUGGAAACAGACACAUACACCCCUGCUGAGACACACAUAUAUACACCCAUCCUAAGCCAGCUAUUCCCAGCCACACACACACACACACACACUCACAUAGACACAGCUCUCUCUCUCUCUCUCU